rnacentral:rRNA from 1 species
GCUGGCGGCGUGCCUAAUACAUGCAAGUAGAACGCUGAAGACUUUAGCUUGCUAAAGUUGGAAGAGUUGCGAACGGGUGAGUAACGCGUAGGUAACCUGCCUACUAGCGGGGGAUAACUAUUGGAAACGAUAGCUAAUACCGCAUAACAGCAUUUAACCCAUGUUAGAUGCUUGAAAGGAGCAAUUGCUUCACUAGUAGAUGGACCUGCGUUGUAUUAGCUAGUUGGUGAGGUAACGGCCCACCAAGGCGACGAUACAUAGCCGACCUGAGAGGGUGAUCGGCCACACUGGGACUAAGACACGGCCCAGACUCCUACGGGAGGCAGCAGUAGGGAAUCUUCGGCAAUGGGGGCAACCCUGACCGAGCAACGCCGCGUGAGUGAAGAAGGUUUUCGGAUCGUAAAGCUCUGUUGUAAGAGAAGAACGUGUGUGAGAGUGGAAAGUUCACACAGUGACGGUAACUUACCAGAAAGGGACGGCUAACUACGUGCCAGCAGCCGCGGUAAUACGUAGGUCCCGAGCGUUGUCCGGAUUUAUUGGGCGUAAAGCGAGCGCAGGCGGUUUAAUAAGUCUGAAGUUAAAGGCAGUGGCUUAACCAUUGUUCGCUUUGGAAACUGUUAGACUUGAGUGCAGAAGGGGAGAGUGGAAUUCCAUGUGUAGCGGUGAAAUGCGUAGA